rnacentral:rRNA from 1 species
AUUGAACGCGGCGGCAGGCCUAACACUGCAAGUCGAGCGGAAACGAGUUAUCUAAACUUUCGGGGAACGAUAAGGCGUCGAGCGGCGGACGGGUGAGUAAUGCCUAGGAAAUUGCCCUGAUGUGGGGGAUAACCAUUGGAAACGAUGGCUAAUACCGCAUGAUGCCUACGGGCCAAAGAGGGGGACCUUCGGGCCUCUCGCGUCAGGAUAUGCCUAGGUGGGAUUAGCUAGUUGGUGAGGUAAGGGCUCACCAAGGCAACGAUCCCUAGCUGGUCUGAGAGGAUGAUCAGCCACACUGGAACUGAGACACGGUCCAGACUCCUACGGGAGGCAGCAGUGGGGAAUAUUGCACAAUGGGCGCAAGCCUGAUGCAGCCAUGCCGCGUGUGUGAAGAAGGCCUUCGGGUUGUAAAGCACUUUCAGUCGUGAGGAAGGUAGUGUGUUUAAUAGAUGCAUUAUUUGACGUUAGCGACAGAAGAAGCACCGGCUAACUCCGUGCCAGCAGCCGCGGUAAUACGGAGGGUGCGAGCGUUAAUCGGAAUUACUGGGCGUAAAGCGCAUGCAGGUGGUUUGUUAAGUCAGAUGUGAAAGCCCGGGGCUCAACCUCGGAAUAGCAUUUGAAACUGGCAGACUAGAGUACUGUAGAGGGGGGUAGAAUUUCAGGUGUAGCGGUGAAAUGCGUAGAGAUCUGAAGGAAUACCGGUGGCGAAGGCGGCCCCCUGGACAGAUACUGACACUCAGAUGCGAAAGCGUGGGGAGCAAACAGG